GUCGAACGCUGGCGGCGUGCUUAAUACAUGCAAGUAGAACGCACAGUUUAUCUUGUAGCUUGCUACACCAUAGACUGUGAGUUGCGAACGGGUGAGUAACGCGUAGGUAACCUGCCUGGUAGCGGGGGAUAACUAUUGGAAACGAUAGCUAAUACCGCAUAAUAUUGAUUAUUGCAUGAUAAUUGCUUGAAUGAUGCUAUUGCAUCACUACCAGAUGGACCUGCGUUGUAUUAGCUAGUAGGUGAGGUAACGGCUCACCUAGGCGACGAUACAGAGCCGACCUGAGAGGGUGAUCGGCCACACUGGGACUGAGACACGGCCCAGACUCCUACGGGAGGCAGCAGUAGGGAAUCUUCGGCAAUGGACGAAAGUCUGACCGAGCAACGCCGCGUGGGUGAAGAAGGGUUUCGGAGCGGAAAGCUCUGUUGGAAGGGGAGAACGGGUGUGAGAGUGGAAAGUUCACACGGUGACGGUAUCUUAACAGAAAGGGACGGCUAACUACGUG
rnacentral:rRNA from 1 species